CCUACGGGCGGCAGCAGUGAGGAAUAUUGGUCAAUGGACGAGAGUCUGAACCAGCCAAGUAGCGUGAAGGAUGACUGCCCUAUGGGUUGUAAACUUCUUUUAUAUGGGAAUAAAGUGAUCCACGUGUGGCUUUUUGUAUGUACUUUAUGAAUAAGGAUCGGCUAACUCCGUGCCAGCAGCCGCGGUAAUACGGAGGAUCCGAGCGUUAUCCGGAUUUAUUGGGUUUAAAGGGAGCGUAGGUGGGUUGUUAAGUCAGUUGUGAAAGUUUGCGGCUCAACCGUAAAAUUGCAGUUGAUACUGGCAGUCUUGAGUACAGUAGAGGUAGGCGGAAUUCGUGGUGUAGCGGUGAAAUGCUUAGAUAUCACGAAGAACUCCGAUUGCGAAGGCAGCUUACUGGACUGCAACUGACACUGAGGCUCGAAAGUGUGGGUAUCAAACAGGAUUAGAUACCCGAGUAGUC
rnacentral:rRNA from 1 species